UUAGAGUUUGAUCCUGGCUCAGGAUGAACGCUAGCGGCAGGCUUAACACAUGCAAGUCGAGGGGUAACAGGUCACUUCGGUGAUGCUGACGACCGGCGCACGGGUGAGUAACGCGUAUGGAACCUACCUGAAACAGGGGGAUAGCUUCCGGAAACGGGGAUUAAUACCCCAUACGAUUCAUUUGUGGCCUCACAAAUGGAUAAAAGCUACGGCGGUUUCAGAUGGUCAUGCGUACCAUUAGUUAGUUGGUGAGGUAAAGGCUCACCAAGGCGAUGAUGGUUAGGGGUCCUGAGAGGGUAGUCCCCCACACUGGUACUGAGACACGGACCAGACUCCUACGGGAGGCAGCAGUGAGGAAUAUUGGUCAAUGGGCGCUAGCCUGAGCCAGCCAUGCCGCGUGCAGGAAGACGGCCCUACGGGUUGUAAACUGCUUUUCUGCAGGAAGAAUAUAUAGUCUUAGGGCUAUAUUGACGGUACUACAGGAAUAAGCAUCGGCUAACUCCGUGCCAGCAGCCGCGGUAAUACGGAGGAUGCAAGCGUUAUCCGGAUUCAUUGGGUUUAAAGGGUGCGCAGGCUGUAAAGCAAGUCAGUGG
rnacentral:rRNA from 1 species